rnacentral:rRNA from 1 species
UACGAAGGGGGGCUAGCGUUGCUCGGAAUCACUGGGCGUAAAGCGCACGUAGGCGGAUUGCUAAGUCAGGGGUGAAGUCCUGGAGCUCAACUCCAGAACUGCCUUUGAUACUGGCGAUCUCGAGUCCGGGAGAGGUGAGUGGAACUGCGAGUGUAGAGGUGAAAUUCGUAGAUAUUCGCAAGAACACCAGUGGCGAAGGCGGCUCACUGGCCCGGUACUGACGCUGAGGUGCGAAAGCGUGGGGAGCAAACAGGG